AUUAGGGUCCAGUUGACCAUCAGUUUUGGGUUAUGGAAUGCCAAGGAGCGGGUAAUCCUCAGAGCAUGGUGGUUUUUGUCCUGCCAAGGGCAGUUCUUCAAGAAGGGGGCAGUGCCUGAGCAGCUGCUCACAGAAGCUGGGAGGACACUAUCAGUGAGGCUCUGCAAAGCUGCUUCCCAUUCACCACCAUUAUCAUGGACUUAAAAGUACUUGUGGGCUAGCCUGAUAGUGCUCAUGGUGACGAAGAGGCGGAGGCAGAGGAAGAGGUGAUGAGUCCAUGGAGCAGCUGUAGUGCUGCCUACUUAAGAGGCAAGUCACCUCUGUGCACAAAGGAAAUUCUGAGAGACCCAAGUCCAGGGACAAGACUAGGAGCACAGUCAGCCUCCAAGUUGGAGGGCAAUCCCAAGAUAUAGCAGCUAUGAAAACCCUGGAGUCCCCAAGGGAUUGCAGAAGCCUCCAAGCUCUAGGAAAUGCUGAAUGUGAUCACAGGCCAGCAGCAUUUACAAACUAUGCUCGGAUUCCCAAAGAAACAGGGUCUUACUGUGAGAGGCUGUCAUCAUUAUCCUCCAUCAAUGUCCCUGCGUGUCUGAGGACAGUGUACUAUGCUGGAGGGUGACUCAGCAGUGACUCAGCCUUCUCUUCUCAAAUAAGACUGACAGGGAUGGCUACAGUGGUGGAGGUUCUGAAGCAGACAGGUGGGCGUCUCGCUCAGAGUCUGAGAAGCAGAACAAAUGACUCACAAAAAUGAAGCUUCUGCGCCAAGGAAGAAUAUGCGCUGUCUCCCACAGAAUCCACAAUAAACACUCCAGCCCACAUUCCUCUGUCUCCUUCACUCCUGAGACUUCCCCACGUGGUUGCGUGGUCUGACUGACCUCUCUCUCUUGGGAACUGUGAGUGUAACGUUUUUUUCAAUGGCAAUCAUCUCUUGAGUUACUGGCCUCAUCAUACGUGAGUAAUAAUAAAACCUCAACCCUGCAUGGAAAGGCCUAGAAGGCCCAGCAUCCCAACUGUGGUCAUCUCCAGGCCACGCCCCCUGCUGAAUACAGCCACCAGAAUGAGACCAGGCCAGUCCCAUUGAUGAUUCUCCCAGCCAGCAUCACCAUGAGGAAUAACAAA